rnacentral:rRNA from 1 species
UACGUAGGGUGCGAGCGUUGUUCGGAAUUACUGGGCGUAAAGGGCUCGUAGGCGGCCAACUAAGUCAGACGUGAAAUCCCUCGGCUUAACCGGGGAACUGCAUCUGAUACUGGAUGGCUUGAGUUCGGGAGAGGGAUGUGGAAUUCCAGGUGUAGCGGUGAAAUGCGUAGAUAUCAGGAAGAACACCCGUGGCGAAGGCGGCUCUCUGGGACGGUACUGACGCUGAGACGCGAAAGCGUGGGGAGCGAACAGG